GCCCGGCUGGCGCAAUCGGUAGCGCGCAAGACUUCUACUUCAACAAUCUUGAUUCAAGGAAUUUGAUAUCUUGAGGCUGUGGGUUCGAGUCCCACGUCGGGUG